rnacentral:lncRNA from 1 species
AGAGUGGUGCUAUUAGGAUGGCAGGGACCAUACUUGACUUUAAUACUGUCUCAAAGCUGCUUGGGAGGCCAAGUCUCUUGUGGACUUCCCAGAGUGCAGUGGAGCACCCUUCCUUAUUCAGGAUCCUCUCCCUCCCUCAAGGAUUUGAGUGUCUACCUGAUCAGCUAUGAAUCAGAAUACAGGUUGAUUCAGAUUUGACAUGACAUUCCCAAGAUGGAAAGCUAUUCUGAAUUCUUGGACAUAAAACUGAUGCUUACGUGAGACUUGAGAGUUAAUUUAUCCUUUAACUCGAGGAAUUACUAAACCAACUGAACCAAAAAAAAAAAAAAAAAAAAAACGUGAGGAUCGGAUCAGCACACAAGCAGAGAUGUGCUACUUCAAGGACUCCCUUUAAAAUGAAAUCUUAGCCUGACUUCAUUUUUGGAAAGGAAGGAUUUCUUCAUCAACAGAAAUACCUAGGAAGAUGAAGGUUAGUGUGGACACAGUGAGAGCACCUCCUGCUCCCCACCUCCUACACUGGCAGUUUCCAUAACGGUUGAUUUGUUAUUCCACGGUAUCUCUCCAUGAAAAGAACCUCUUACCCGUCU